GACAGAGGCCCCGAGCGUUAGGCGGAAUCACUGGGCUUAAAGCGUGUGUAGGCGGACCGGUAAGUACCUUGUGAAAUCCCACGGCUCACCCGUGGAACUGCUGGGUAUACUGCCGGUCUUGGGCCAACUAGGGGCGACUGGAGCAAGCGGUGGAGCGGUGAAAUGCGUAGAUAUCGCUUGGAACGCCGACGGUGAAAACAGGUCGCUGGGGUUGUGCCGACGCUGAGACACGAAAGCCAGGGGAGCGAACGGG
rnacentral:rRNA from 1 species